ACUGAAUAUGAACUUUAUUGUGAUUUGGUUUAUGUAAGGCAGUGUAGUGAAGGCACUGCAGAAGUUAAACAGACUGGAAAACAUGGUAAAAAAUGAGCGAGCUAAAAAUGAAUGCUUGCUGGUCUAGGUAGGCUAAGUACUACAACUAUGUUUCUUUUUCAUCAUUGCAGAAGCGUUGAAAUAUUGUUGAAGGUGGGGGUUUGGGGUGGAAUUAGGGAAGGCUUCAUGGAGGAGGUGGCAUUUAUACUGGGCCUUGAAGGAGGGGCAGAAAGU
rnacentral:lncRNA from 1 species